rnacentral:rRNA from 1 species
AGAGUUUGAUCAUGGCUCAGAUUGAACGCUGGCGGCAGGCCUAACACAUGCAAGUCGAGCGGUAGCACAGAGAGCUUGCUCUCGGGUGACGAGCGGCGGACGGGUGAGUAAUGUCUGGGAAACUGCCUGAUGGAGGGGGAUAACUACUGGAAACGGUAGCUAAUACCGCAUAAUGUCGCAAGACCAAAGUGGGGGACCUUCGGGCCUCAUGCCAUCAGAUGUGCCCAGAUGGGAUUAGCUAGUAGGUGGGGUAAUGGCUCACCUAGGCGACGAUCCCUAGCUGGUCUGAGAGGAUGACCAGCCACACUGGAACUGAGACACGGUCCAGACUCCUACGGGAGGCAGCAGUGGGGAAUAUUGCACAAUGGGCGCAAGCCUGAUGCAGCCAUGCCGCGUGUGUGAAGAAGGCCUUCGGGUUGUAAAGCACUUUCAGCGGGGAGGAAGGCGNCGAUUGACGUUACCCGCAGAAGAAGCACCGGCUAACUCCGUGCCAGCAGCCGCGGUAAUACGGAGGGUGCAAGCGUUAAUCGGAAUUACUGGGCGUAAAGCGCACGCAGGCGGUCUGUCAAGUCGGAUGUGAAAUCCCCGGGCUCAACCUGGGAACUGCAUUCGAAACUGGCAGGCUAGAGUCUUGUAGAGGGGGGUAGAAUUCCAGGUGUAGCGGUGAAAUGCGUAGAGAUCUGGAGGAAUACCGGUGGCGAAGGCGGCCCCCUGGACAAAGACUGACGCUCAGGUGCGAAAGCGUGGGGAGCAAACAGGAUUAGAUACCCUGGUAGUCCACGCCGUAAACGAUGUCGAUUUGGAGGUUGUGCCCUUGAGGCGUGGCUUCCGGAGCUAACGCGUUAAAUCGACCGCCUGGGGAGUACGGCCGCAAGGUUAAAACUCAAAUGAAUUGACGGGGGCCCGCACAAGCGGUGGAGCAUGUGGUUUAAUUCGAUGCAACGCGAAGAACCUUACCUGGUCUUGACAUCCACAGAACUUUCCAGAGAUGGAUUGGUGCCUUCGGGAACUGUGAGACAGGUGCUGCAUGGCUGUCGUCAGCUCGUGUUGUGAAAUGUUGGGUUAAGUCCCGCAACGAGCGCAACCCUUAUCCUUUGUUGCCAGCGGUCAGGCCGGGAACUCAAAGGAGACUGCCAGUGAUAAACUGGAGGAAGGUGGGGAUGACGUCAAGUCAUCAUGGCCCUUACGACCAGGGCUACACACGUGCUACAAUGGCAUAUACAAAGAGAAGCGACCUCGCGAGAGCAAGCGGACCUCAUAAAGUAUGUCGUAGUCCGGAUUGGAGUCUGCAACUCGACUCCAUGAAGUCGGAAUCGCUAGUAAUCGUAGAUCAGAAUGCUACGGUGAAUACGUUCCCGGGCCUUGUACACACCGCCCGUCACACCAUGGGAGUGGGUUGCAAAAGAAGUAGGUAGCUUAACCUUCGGGAGGGCGCUUACCACUUUGUGAUUCAUGACUGGGGUGAAGUCGUAACAAGGUAACCGUAGGGGAACCUGCGGUUGGAUCACCU